UGCCAGCGUUGUCUUAUAAAUACUCUCCAGACGCCUUGAACGGUCUCAUUUCGUCAGUCUUCAGGAUCGGUUUGUUAAAGUAGCAUGCUGUCAUGCUCUGUCGACGGUGCUGCUAAAUGCAGUAAUGAAGGAAAUGACAGGCCCCACAUUUGGCUAUCUUGAGUUGAGCAAGAACUCUGUGCGCCAGAAGCUCUUCCAUGUGGGAAAAGCUUAAUAUGAAGAUGUUUAAUUCAAGAUCAAACUCGGCUUCAAGGAGCAACUGAGUCGCCCUGAAUACCCAAGAGUUCCUGAGCGUGUGGUCAUUCGCCGAGUCAUGUCUACCAAAUGGCCACAGGGUGGCUCAAGCCCUGAUGCAGAGCGGCCCGUUGGCCUGUUGUAUCAUGUGCCAAGGGCUCUGAGGGUAAUGAAUUAAGUACACCAGGACUGGUCUUUUGAUCAUCCAGUACACCAGAACUUGGCUGAAUGAUACAUCUCCAGUGAAGGUUGUGCAUCCCUGGCCAACAAAUGAUCAGAGUCAGGGCUUGCUGUAAGAUCUCAGGAAGACUACCGAUGAGAGUAAUCUCAUUGAGGGUUUAUGCUCUCAUUAAAUUGAGGAUCAAACAGUAUGGGGCUCUGUUUCUGUGCCAAGAACAGUCUGUACAGAUCCUGCUGUGAACUGCCGUCCACUCCUUCAGACGUCUAAUUUCCUGGUCGUGUCCAUACCGUCCUCCAAUGUAGAAGGAAAUCCAUUAGAAUUUGGAUUUUCCGUCCUCUACUAAUUAGCCUAUUUCCCCUAGCAUCGGUGGAGAAUAUCAAAUCUAAGUUUAGAGUGCAUUCGGGAAGUAUUCAGCCCCCUUAUAUUUUUCCACAUUUGGUUAGGUUACAGCCUCCUAAAAUUGUUCAAACAAAAAAAUGCUCAAACAAUACCCCAUAAUGUUAAAGCAAAGUCGACAAUUUUACCAGUCUAUAACAAACAUACCUUAUUUACAUAGGUAUUUAUACCCUUUGCUAUGAGAGUUGAAAUUGAGCUCCGGUGUAUCCUUUUUCCAUUGAUAAUCCUUGAUGUUUCUACAACUUGAUUGGAGUCCACCUGUGGUAAAUUCAAUUGAUUGGACAUGAUUUGGAAAGGCACACACCUGUCUAUAUAUAGGUUCCCACAGUUGACAGUGCAUUGCAGAGCAAAACUAAGCCAUGAGGGCAAAGGAAUUGUCCGUAGACCAAGACAGGAUUGUGUUGAGGCAAAGAUCUGGGAAAGGGUACCACAAAUUGUCCUAUUGAUUUAUCUGUUAUUUUACCAGGUAAAUUAACUGAGAACACAUUCUCAUUUGCAGCAACAACCUGGGGAAUAGUUACAUGGACGAAGGAGCAAAUUGUAAACUGGGGAUUAUUAGGUGACCGUGAUGGUUUGAGGGCCAGGUUGGGAAUUUAGCCAGGACACUGAGGUAAACACCCCUACCCUUGCAAUAAGAGAGUCAAGUAGACAGAGAUAUUGAUAGAAACCUGCUCCAGAGCACUCAAUACCGCGGACUUGGGUGAGGUUCACCUUCAACAGGACAAUGACCCUAAGCACACGGCCAAGAGAAUGCAGGAGUGGCUUUGGGACAAGUCUCAAUGUCUUUGAGUAGCCCAGACUUGAACCCGAUCAAAACAUCUCUGAAAAUAGCUGUGCCGCAACGCUCCCCAUCCAACCUGACAGAGCUUGAGAGGAUCUGCAGAGCAGGUUGAGAGAAAUACCCCAAAUACAGGUGUACCAAGUUUGUAUUGUCAUACCCAAGAAGACUCGAGGCUGUAAUCACUGCCAAAGGUGCUUCAACAAAGUACUGAGUAAAGGGUGAAUAUUUAUGUACAUGUAAUAUGUCCUGGUGGAGAUUUUAUACAUUUGCAAAAAUAAAACUGUUUUUGCUUUGUCAUUGUGGGGUAUUGCGUGUAGAUUGAGGGAAAAAGACAAUUUAAUACAUUUUAGAUUAAGACGUAACGUAACAGAAUGUGGAAAAAGUAUAGAGGUCUGAACUUACCAAAUGCACUGUAACUGUCACAUGUCAAAUACUACAGGUGUAGACUUUACCAUGAAAUGCUUCACAUGCUCCGUAUAAAACCGAUGUAGACUUUACUGUGAAAUGCUUACUUACGAGCCCUUUCCCAACAAUGCAGAUUUAAAAAGUACAAAAAUCAUCAAUUAACUGUUCAACAGUCUUAUAGCUUAGGGGUAGAAGCUGUUCAGUAGCCUUUUGGUCCCAGACUUGGAGCUCCGGUAUAGUAUAUGUACAGUCAUGUUUUGAACUGUAUACCAUGGAGUGGGGAGGGGUAUAGCUUUUUUCUAAAGGGGAAUAUGAACUGCAUGUUUAUUUUCAAGACGCUCAAUCGUGUUAUCUGAUCUCCGGGAGAAGUAGGCCUAGAUAUUUUUUAAAUAUGGAAAUGCAUGCUCUUGCAGGUUCACAAAAGUAAAAAUUGAUAUAGCAUCACAUGUUUUAAUCUGUACAGUAUUUCAAUGUGGUAAAUUUUAUGCAUCAGACUCUCCCCCAAUAAAUUGUUCUAACAACCUGAUGAA